UCUGAUACCACAUGUAAACUUCAUUUGGAAGUCAUGUGUAAAUGGAUCUUAAGAAAUCAUAGUUUUCACAUCAUAAGAAUAGUUACAGAUUACUAACCUUUACCCAUGGCGAUACGAUCCUCCAUUUAAUUGUUGUUUGGUGUUCUUGGUUUAUAGAGUAACUCUUCUAUCUCCUUCCCGUUCUUACUAUGCUCUUCCUUAAGUGAUGGCUGAUAGAACAAUCUUUAUGGGCAGAGAUGGGGACUGGUCCUUCUUCUUGUUAGUAUAAUGCUUCCAUCAAGCAGUAUAUAUAAGCUCUUUCCCAAGAGUCUUAACAUUUCAUUGAUAACUCUUCAUCCAAGAGUUAUAUCAUUCAAACAACGAAAUAAUAUAUUCAUUCAUGUCACAAGAGGCAUAUUUCUUACACUUGUUUCAUCAUUGCUUCUUCUUCAGAAUGGAUUUUCAAAAUAAUUAAACAAUCGUCUCACAAAUUGUUUUUCAUUACUAUGGGGUGUAACUGGCAUUGGUGAAAUAACAUGGUUAUGGACAGUAAUCCUUAGACAAGUGACAAAGUUUUCAAAAAGUUCAACUCUAAUUGCAAAGACGAGGAACAUUAUAGCAUGAUAUCUUAUGAAAUGGCUAAACAAGGAUGCCACAAUAGAUGCCUCCUCCUAUAGGCUGGAUAAAACUGAACAUAGAUGGAGGUCUCUCUUCAACAACUUCUAUCUUGAUAAAUGAUGAGAUCUUGAGGAAUGAGUACAAUGUUGGAUCGCAAGCUUCUCCUGUAGGGAAGGACAUGGAGAUAUGAUUCUUACAGAGUUGACGACCAUUUUAAGAGUAUUGGAUAUAGCUUGGUCAGAAAGAGCCCUAAUGCUCAAUUGCGAGAUAGAUUGCUUAGAGGUUGUGUUGUUACCGUAGCUUACAGCAAUUCUAAAUGGCACGAAAUAAUACUUACUGGCUGAGUCACGACCAUGUCGCUCUCUUUAAGACGUUUCGUGGCACUUCCCAAAAUGUGCAAGCAGACUAUCAACCACGCCGUCCCCAGGAUAAAACAGCCCAGAUCUCUGUUAUCGAAUUCU
rnacentral:lncRNA from 1 species